rnacentral:rRNA from 1 species
CCUACGGGCGGCUGCAGUGGGGAAUAUUGGACAAUGGGGGGAACCCUGAUCCAGCCAUGCCGCGUGUGUGAAGAAGGCACUCGGGGUGUAAAGCACUUUCAGUGAGGAAGAACGCCUGGUGGUUAAUACCCAUCUGGAAAGACAUCACUCACAGAAGAAGCACCGUCUAACUCCGUGCCAGCAGCCGCGGUAAUACGGAGGGUGCGAGCGUUAAUCGGAAUUACUGGGCGUAAAGCGCGCGUAGGUGGCUUGAUAAGCCGGUUGUGAAAGCCCCGGGCUCAACCUGGGAACGGCAUCCGGAACUGUCAAGCUAGAGUGCAGGAGAGGAAGGUAGAAUUCCCGGUGUAGCGGUGAAAUGCGUAGAGAUCGGGAGGAAUACCAGUGGCGAAGGCGGCCUUCUGGACUGACACUGACACUGAGGUGCGAAAGCGUGGGUAGCAAACAGGAUUAGAUACACGAGUAGUC